GACGAACGCUGGCGGCGUGCUUAACACAUGCAAGUCGAACGGUAAGGCCCCUUCGGGGGUACACGAGUGGCGAACGGGUGAGUAACACGUGAGCAACCUGCCCUUGACUCUGGGAUAACAGUUGGAAACAGCUGCUAAUACCGGAUACGACCUUCGAUGACAUCAUCUGGAGGUGGAAAGCGCUUUAGCGGUCAAGGAUGGGCUCGCGGCCUAUCAGCUUGUUGGUGAGGUAACGGCUCACCAAGGCUUCGACGGGUAGCCGGCCUGAGAGGGCGAGCGGCACCACGGGGGCUGAGAUACGGCCCAGACUCCGACGGGAGGCAGCAGUGGGGAAUAUUGCACAAUGGGCGCAAGCCUGAUGCAGCACGCCGCGUGCGGGAUGACGGCCUUCGGGUUGUAAACCGCUUUCAGUUCCGACGAAGCGCAAGUGACGGUAGGAACAGAAGAAGGACCGGCCAACUACGUGCCAGCAGCAGCCGCAG
rnacentral:rRNA from 1 species